GUGCUCGCUUCAGCAGCACAUGGACUAAAACUGGAACAUACAGAGAAGAUUAGCAUGGCCCCUGCGCAGGAAUGACAUGCAAAUUCAUGAAGCGUUCCAUUUAAAA
rnacentral:snRNA from 1 species